ensembl:lncRNA
CCACCAGGGAGUAAGUACAGUGAUCCACAAAGAGACCUCUAACACUCCUCCUGACCUCCGCCUGAGGGUAUGGUAAAAAAUAAUAUGGUGAAUGCUGCUGUCCAGUGUAUCCAAUGGAAAGGAUGGAUCAUAAAACCAUGGCAGUGUUUCCUCAUUGGCUUUAUUCAUCUGAUCAGAUACCAUGUGACUUCUGGCUCUUCCUCCAAGUCAAAAUGACCCUGAAAUCAGAAUCUUCUUCCAACAGAUGAAAGCUUAUACUAGUAGUCAAUAAAGUUUCUCAGAUUGAUGCAGGAAUGAGAGUCUCCCAGCCUUAUAUUCUCAGCCUCCUUCAGCCUCCUACUUCAGCUUCUUACUGAGGUACUGCAACAAAACUCUAGAGCUCUGAAGAACAGUUUAGGGUCAUGAAUUUAGACUACUUAGCUCAUUUAAUGAAAGGGAAACUGAGUCAUCAUGGGGUAUAGUUUGCCAUAGGUCCUGAUGGUGGAAUAGGAGAGCUCCUUUGAGUUCCUUCAGGGCCCUGGUUGGAUAGCAUUUCAAAGGCUGCAUUUUGAGCAAAUCAUCUCCUUCCCACUUUAUUAUUGUGUCCCAUGUUUCAUAAGAAUAAGAAAAGGCUCAGAAUGUAGCUACAGUCCCUCCAUCUCCAGCAGAGUCCCAGGAGAAAAUGUAUGAAGCUUUUCAAUUGGGGGACUGACUAGCUUCCUGCCAAGCCUGAUUAAGGAGGAGUGGCAGUUGGCUAGGGAGAUGGCCUGAAGGGGCAGAUUUGUGCAAGGCAGCCAAAAAAUAGAGGCCUCCCAUGAGGCGAUGCAGCCUGGAAUCCUGCUGGGACUCAAUGCACAUCUUGCAGCGAGGAUUUCUUGAGCACACAUCCAGCCAUGGUGCUCAGGAAAGGACAUCACUGCGAGCUUCUCAGAGCUGUGUGGGGCUGUAUAUGAGAGGGAAGAAGAGAAGACUGAGCUCUGCAAGGUCAGAGGCUGUGAGGAAUAAUGAUGUGCUGUGAGGAGGGGCUUGCCAGUUUUAAGAAGGGGAAAUGUAAUCUGUGGUCUUCUCUGGGCAAAAGUCCCAGACUUUGAUCAUGUGGGAUAGUCUACUGAUUUUAAAUAAUUUCCAUGCUUCCGAGUACCUACUAUGCCUGAGAAGUUGCUGUGAGUGUCAUAUGAUCAAAAUAAGCUAUUUCUGUCUACAGUAAGGUAUAGUAAAAUAAACACACAUAUGUGUAACUGAAAGGAAAUAGUGCUUUAUUCAUCUUUUAUCCUCAGAGUGUAGCGUGGUGCUUGGCUCUGGGUGUUAUUU